UACGUAGGGUGCAAGCGUUGUCCGGAAUUAUUGGGCGUAAAGAGCUUGUAGGCGGUUUGUCGCGUCUGCUGUGAAAUUUCGGGGCUCAACCCCGAACUUGCAGUGGGUACGGGCAGACUAGAGUGUGGUAGGGGAGACUGGAAUUCCUGGUGUAGCGGUGAAAUGCGCAGAUAUCAGGAGGAACACCGAUGGCGAAGGCAGGUCUCUGGGCCACUACUGACGCUGAGAAGCGAGAGCAUGGGGAGCGAACAGG
rnacentral:rRNA from 1 species